UACAGAGGGUGCGAGCGUUGUCCGGAAUCACUGGGCGUAAAGGGCGCGUAGGCGGCUUGAUAAGCGUGCGGUGAAAGCCCGGGGCUCAACCCCGGGUCGGCCGUGCGAACUGUCGAGCUGGAGCACUGUAGAGGCAGGUGGAAUUCCCGGUGUAGUGGUGAAAUGCGUAGAUAUCGGGAGGAACACCAGUGGCGAAGGCGACUAUCUGGGCUACAACUGACGCUGAGGCGCGAAGGCUAGGGUAGCAAACAGG
rnacentral:rRNA from 1 species